GGACGAACGCUGGCGGCGUGCUUAACACAUGCAAGUCGAGCGGUAAGGCCCCUUCGGGGGUACACGAGCGGCGAACGGGUGAGUAACACGUGAGCAAUCUGCCCAUCACACCGGGAUAACUUCGGGAAACCGAAGCUAAUACCGAAUACGACCACUUCAGGCAUCUGACGGUGGUGGAAAGUUCCGGCGGUGAUGGAUGAGCUCGCGGCCUAUCAGCUUGUUGGUGGGGUAAUGGCACACCAAGGCUUCGACGGGUAGCCGGCCUGAGAGGGUGACCGGCCACACUGGGACUGAGACACGGCCCAGACUCCUACGGGAGGCAGCAGUGGGGAAUAUUGGACAAUGGGCGAAAGCCUGAUCCAGCAACGCCGCGUGAGGGAUGACGGCCUUCGGGUUGUAAACCUCUUUCAGCAGGGACGAAGCGCAAGUGACGGUACCUGCAGAAGAAGCACCGGCCAACUACGUGCCAGCAGCCGCGGUAAUACGUAGGGUGCAAGCGUUGUCCGGAAUUAUUGGGCGUAAAGGGCUCGUAGGCGGUUUGUCGCGUCGGGAGUGAAAACUCAGGGCUUAACCCUGAGCCUGCUUCCGAUACGGGCAGACUAGAGGUAUGCAGGGGAGAAUGGAAUUCCUGGUGUAGCGGUGAAAUGCGCAGAUAUCAGGAGGAACACCGGUGGCGAAGGCGGUUCUCUGGGCAUUACCUGACGCUGAGGAGCGAAAGUGUGGGGAGCGAACAGG
rnacentral:rRNA from 1 species